rnacentral:lncRNA from 1 species
GGCAUUGUCUGAUUUUGAGGCUAUUCUUGAGAACUAAAAUGUUUUUCUAGCGUAUAUUGUGUAGUUUCCACGUGCUCAGUAUGACUAAUGCAUUAGUCACAGGUUACACUAUGAGAGACUCAAGAAAAGACAGUCUUGAUCUCCAGAACGACCUUGCUUCCUGACUCUAAAUUCCUCCUCUCCAACCAAUGAUUCCUCUCUGCCUCCACCUCUGAGACUGGUUCUUUUCCUGGCAGGAGAUAUUUACUGAGCAGGCCUAGCCACCACCUGUGGCCUCCUGCGGGCCAGACUGGACUGCAGCUGCCAGGACCUAGUGAUGGCCCCAAACCUGAGAGUGGGCCCAGGGCCCCACCCCGCUAACCCUGCUGAAAAAGGCCAGAGGGCACAUGAAGCCUUUGCUCCCUGGAUCAGCUCACCCUCUCCAGUCUUCCUUCCAGGCGGACAAGCCAUACACUGAAGAACAGCUGCAGAGGAAAGGCUGGACCAGGUGUGCUGGGAGUCACCAGGAGCGAGGUGGUGAAGGAGCACAUGAAUCCGGGCAA